AUACAACCUAGUCGACGUCUCGACCCGAACCGCCCCGCCAAAUACUGUCGUACUAAAAAUACCGGCCAGCAGAACUGCUCCAACAAACAACGCCGUCCUCUAGGCAAGCAGCGCGCAGUCGACUCGGGGAGGAAGGCCACCGCCGGUUAUCGACCACCGCUUCAUUCCUAAACGAUUGGCACCUGCGAAAAACCGUGCCAAAUUCAUCUAUGAGAAAAAACUACCGAUUGACGAAGACGGCGUACGAUUAUCUCCGCAAUGCGGCUAUACCGGGACAGGAAAUUAUAUUUCAAAGUCAGAAUGACUAAAUUCCUAAAUCAAGUGGAGUGAAAACGUCACGGUAUUGGGUUACACAUGCGCUGUGUAAUGCGUUCACGGUCAUGCGACAUUUUUUAAAAAUAUUCUAGCCGUAGAGCAAUGCAUCGACUGCGAUGAAAUUAAGCUACCCUAAUCCGCAUCGAAGGUCGGGACGCUAAUUGAGAAAAAAAAGAAAAUUCGAACCAAAAAUAAUCGACGAUUCUUUCGCGGACCGUAUAAUUCGGACGGAUUAAUCUAAUCAGCGUUGAAUAUUGGCGAGGUGCACCUAUAAACGUAAGUGCGAUUAAAUUUAGUAGAUCAUUGGUACACUUUUCCAAUUUGCGAACCGUUGACAUUAUUUUAUAGCGAGCUACAUGAGCCAACUGGGUAGCAGCUGGUGAUGUCGCGGUACAUAACAACCUCAGGUCGUUGAGACCUACAGUGUCUGUCAAGAUCAGUAAGCCGAGUGUAGUAUGCUGCUGCAUAACGCGGCGUUCAAAGUUCGAAGAUAGCGAUAACGAGAUAGGAAAAAAAAAUCAAUAUACCGACUAGAAUAAAUCGAUCGAGAAUAAUUAUUCAUUUCAU